rnacentral:rRNA from 1 species
CAAUAGCGUAUAUUUAAGUUGUUGCAGUUAAAAAGCUCGUAGUUGGAUUUCGGGUGGGACGCAGCGGUCUCGCAUUGCGUUUGUACUGCUGCAGCCCUCCUUCUUGCCGGGGGCGGCCUCUCGGACUUCACUGUCUGGGGGUCAGAAUCGGCGAUGUUACUUUGAGUAAAUUAGAGUGUUCAAAGCAAGCUUACGCUCUGAAUAUAAUAGCAUGGGAUAACACGACAGGACUCUGGCCUAUCGUGUUGGUCUAUAGGACCAGAGUAAUGAUUAAGAGGGACAGUCGGGGGCAUUCGUAUUCCGUUGUCAGAGGUGAAAUUCUUAGAUUUACGGAAGACGAACAUCUGCGAAAGCAUUUGCCAAGGAUGUUUUCAUUG